CGCUGGCGGCGUGCCUAAUACAUGCAAGUCGAGCAGACCCUUCGGGGUUAGCGGCGGACGGGUGAGUAACACGUAGGCAACCUGCCUGUAAGACUGGGAUAACUACCGGAAACGGUAGCUAAGACCGGAUAAGUGAUUCUCUUGCAUGAGAGGAUCAAGAAACACGGGGCAACCUGUGGCUUACAGAUGGGCCUGCGGCGCAUUAGCUAGUUGGUGGGGUAACGGCUCACCAAGGCGACGAUGCGUAGCCGACCUGAGAUGGUGAUCGGCCACACUGGGACUGAGACACGGCCCAGGCUCCUACGGGAGGCAGCAGUAGGGAAUCUUCCGCAAUGGACGCAAGUCUGACGGAGCAACGCCGCGUGAGUGAUGAAGGUUUUCGGAUCGUAAAGCUCUGUUGCCAGGGAAGAACGUCGCGGAGAGUAACUGCUCUGCGAAUGACGGUACCUGAGAAGAAAGCCCCGGCUAACUACGUGCCAGCAGCCGCGGUAAUACGUAGGUGGCAAGCGUUAUCCGGAAUUAUUGGGCGUAAAGCGCGCGUAGGCGGUUUUUUAAGUCUGAUGUG
rnacentral:rRNA from 1 species